ACACCCCACAUUCAAAACUUGUGUUUGAAUGGAAUUGAGGGCAAACGGCUUUACUGCUGUUCCCUUUAAAACUAUUAGGCCUGAAUUUGUCUGUUCUGCCUGAACUUUUUUUUAAUAUAAAGGAAAGCUCUUGCUAAUAAGACUCUCUUGGGGCCUCUCAAAUAAAUCUUUCUUAA
rnacentral:misc_RNA from 1 species